rnacentral:rRNA from 1 species
UACAGAGGUCUCAAGCGUUGUUCGGAUUCAUUGGGCGUAAAGGGUGCGUAGGUGGCGGGGUAAGUCAGGUGUGAAAUUUCGGAGCUUAACUCCGAAACUGCAUUUGAUACUGCCUUGCUUGAGGACUGGAGAGGAGACUGGAAUUCACGGUGUAGCAGUGAAAUGCGUAGAGAUCGUGAGGAAGACCAGUGGCGAAGGCGGCAUCCUGGACCAACACUGACGCUGAUGAGCGAAAGCCAGGGGAGCAAACGGG